rnacentral:rRNA from 1 species
AUGCACGCUGGCGGCGUGCCUAAUACAUGCCAGUCGCGCGAACAGACGAGGAGCUUGCUCCUCUGACGUUAGCGGCGGACGGGUGAGUAACCCGUGGAUAACCUACCUAUAAGACUGGGAUAACUUCGGGAAACCGGAGCUAAUACCGGAUAAUAUAUUGAACCGCAUGGUUCAAUAGUGAAAGACGGUUUUGCUGUCACUUAUAGAUGGAUCCGCGCCGCAUUAGCUAGUUGGUAAGGUAACGGCUUACCAAGGCAACGAUGCGUAGCCGACCUGAGAGGGUGAUCGGCCACACUGGAACUGAGACACGGUCCAGACUCCUACGGGAGGCAGCAGUAGGGAAUCUUCCGCAAUGGGCGAAAGCUUGACGGAGCAACGCCGCGUGAGUGAUGAAGGUCUUCGGAUCGUAAAACUCUGUUAUUAGGGAAGAACAAAUGUGUAAGUAACUAUGCACGUCUUGACGGUACCUAAUCAGAAAGCCACGGCUAACUACGUG